rnacentral:lncRNA from 1 species
CUGCUGCAGAUAGUUAUAUUUACUCUUCUCCUCCACCACCUUACGAGUAUAAGUCGCCACCGCCACCAUCACCUUCACCACCACCUCCUUAUGUUUACAAAUCGCCACCUCCUCCAUCCCCAUCACCUCCACCACCUUAUGAGCACAAGGCUCCUGCUUAUGAGUACAAGUCACCACCACCACCAACUCCUUCACCACCACCUCCUUAUGUGUACAAGUCACCACCACCGCCAUCUCCUUCACCACCACCUCCUUAUGUGUACAAGUCACCACCACCACCCUCACCUUCCCCACCACCACCAUACUACUACAAGAGUCCUCCACCACCUUCUCCUUCACCUCCACCUCCUUACUACUACAAAUCUCCUCCACCACCCUCACCUUCCCCACCACCACCAUACUAUUACAAGUCUCCUCCACCACCAUCUCCCUCACCUCCACCACCAUAUUACUACAAGUCUCCCCCACCACCCUCACCCUCCCCUCCACCCCCAUAUAUACACAAGGAUCCACCAUACUAUUACAAGUCCCCACCACCACCUUCACCAUCUCCUCCACCACCAUACUACUACAAAUCUCCCCCACCCCCUUCACCGUCUCCUCCACCACCAUACUACUACAAAUCUCCUCCUCCUCCAUCUCCUAUUCCCAAAACACCUUACUACUACAAAUCUCCCCCACCCCCUUCACCAUCUCCUCCACCACCAUACUACUACAAAUCUCCCCCACCCCCUUCACCGUCUCCUCCACCACCAUACUACUAUAAAUCUCCCCCACCACCGUCACCCUCUCCACCACCACCUUACUAUUACAAGUCUCCUCCCCCACCUUCACCAUCUCCUCCACCACCAUACUACUACAAAUCUCCUCCUCCUCCAUCUCCUAUUCCCCAUACACCUUACUAUUACAAAUCUCCCCCACCACCUUCACCAUCUCCUCCACCACCAUACUACUACAAAUCUCCUCCUCCUCCAUCUCCUAUUCCCCGUACACCUUACUAUUACAAAUCUCCCCCACCACCUUCACCAUCUCCUCCACCACCAUACUACUACAAAUCCCCUCCUCAUCCAUCUCCCAUUCCCCAUACACCUUACUAUUACACAUCUCCCCCACCACCUUCACCGUCUCCUCCACCACCAUAUUACUACAAAUCUCCUCCCCCUCCGUCUCCUAUUCCCCACACACCUUACUACUACAAGUCCCCACCACCACCAAAGGUCCUUCCACCACCAUACUAUUACAAUUCUCCUCCUCCACCUGUUGUGUAUCCUCACCCAUAUCCCUACCACCACUCACUUAUUGUGAGGGUAGUCGGUAAAGUCUACAGCUUCAGAUGUUAUGAUUGGAAUUAUCCUGCAAAGUCUCAUAACAAGAAACAUCUCAAAGGUACAUUACAUUUCUUAGGACCGGACCUCUUUAGAGUAAUGUGUUUAGAGAUAAUGCACAAUUUUUUAUUUUUUUAUCUCGUAAAGGUUUAUUUAUUAUAAUCACAAUUUCACUUUUGUCAAAAAGAAAAACAAUUUUACUAUAUAUAGUUUUAAUCAUUAACAUUUUGAUGUAAAAAGAAUACAAUUCUCUAUUACCUUUUUACUAUGAUAUAUAUACAAAGAUUAUUCAAAUCUAUAUAUCCAACCUAAUUUCCAUCCAAAAAAAUAGAAAACAUAGGGUGCUUUGAACGCCUGCAGCAUCACAUGAAUAAAUAAAAACAAUCAAUAAUCAACCUUGUUCUAAUUUAUUUUAGACAGCGAUUGUUAAGCAUACUGCUCUUUUAAUUACAUUUUUUUUAAAGAUGCUCUUUUAAUUAUAUUGUCCUAAUAUAAUAUGUGUCUUUAUAUAUUACUUGUCGUAAACUAAUUUUAUUAUGGGUGCAGGAGCUGUUGUUGAGGUGACAUGCAAAGCCGGGAGCAAAAUUGUCAAGGCUUAUGGAAAAACUAAGAACAAUGGAAAGUAUGCCAUCACAGUUAAGGACUUUGACUAUGUCAAAUAUGGUUCGACAGUGUGCAAGGCUGCCCUAUAUGCUCCACCUAAGGGUUCACCCUUCAACAUACCUACAAAGCUAAAUCAAGGAACAAAGUUGUACUUGAAAUCCAAAGACAAGUACGAGGUUGUGCUCAAGGCUAAGCCAUUUGCUUAUGCUUCAAAGAAACAUUUCAAAGAAUGUGAGAAGCCUAAGCCUUCACCAACUCCUUACUACUACAAAUCACCUCCACCUCCCUCACCAGUUUACAAAUACAACUCACCACCUCCACCGGUCCAUUAUUAUUCACCUCCAUACACCUACAAGUCACCUCCUCCCCCUGUGAAAGCGGCACCAACUCCUUACUACUACAAAUCACCUCCACCACCCGCACCGGUUUACAAGUACAACUCACCCCCUCCACCGGUCCAUUAUUAUUCACCACCAUAUACCUAUAAGUCACCUCCUCCCCCUGUGAAAGCGGCACCAACUCCUUACUACUACAAAUCACCUCCACCUCCCGCACCGGUUUACAAGUACAACUCCCCACCUCCACCGGUCCAUUAUUAUUCACCUCCAUAUACCUACAAGUCACCUCCUCCCCCUGUGAAAGUGGCACCAACUCCUUACUACUACAAAUCACCUCCACCACCCGCACCGGUUUACAAGUACAACUCACCACCUCCACCGGUCCAUUAUUAUUCUCCACCAUACUACUACAAGUCACCACCCCCACCAUCUCCAUCACCUCCUCCACCAUACUAUUUCAAAUACUAUUACAAGUCCCCACCUCCACCAUCACCAUCCCCUCCUCCACCUUAUUAUUACAAAUCUCCUCCUCCACCAAAACAAAUUUCACACCCUCCAUACUACUAUAAGUCACCACCCCCACCAUCACCAUCACCUCCUCCACCAUACUAUUAUAAGUCUCCACCUCCACCAUCACCAUCUCCCCCACCACCUUAUUAUUAUAAGUCACCACCCCCACCAUCCCCGUCCCCUCCUCCACCAUACUACUACAAGUCUCCACCUCCACCUAAAGAAAUAUCACAUCCUCCAUAUAACUAUAAGUCACCACCCCCACCAUCACCAUCCCCUCCCCCUCCAUACUAUUACAAAUCUCCUCCACCACCAUCACCAUCACCACCACCUCCCUACUAUUACAAAUCACCUCCACCACCAUCACCAUCACCUCCCCCUCCAUACUAUUACAAAUCUCCUCCACCACCAUCACCAUCACCACCACCUCCUUACUAUUACAAAUCACCUCCACCACCAUCCCCAUCACCACCACCUCCAUACUACUACAAAAGUCCCCCUCCACCAUCUCCAUCUCCUCCAUCCCCAUAUUACUACAAAUCUCCACCACCACCAUCACCAUCCCCACCCCCUCCCUACUAUUACAAAUCACCUCCACCUCCCUCACCAUCACCGCCACCUCCUUACUAUUACAAAUCACCUCCACCUCCCUCACCAUCACCGCCACCUCCUUACUAUUACAAAUCUCCCCCACCUCCAUCUCCAUCUCCACCACCUCCUUACCACUAUCAAAGUCCUCCUCCACCAUCUCCCAUUUCUCAUCCUCCCUACUACUACAAAUCCCCUCCACCACCAUCGCCGUCUCCUCCACCUCCUUACCACUAUGUGAGUCCUCCCCCACCAGUAAAGUCACCUCCACCACCAACUUAUAUCUAUGCUUCACCACCACCACCUCACUACAACUAAGCUCAAAGAGCAGAAGCUCCGUUCAUUAUAAAUCAUGUAAGUUUAUCAUCUUCAAUUUUCUGAAUGUGUGCGUGUGUAUUUGUUUUUUUGUUACAAGAUACUAACAAAAUUCUUUUCUUAUUUAUGUUCAGGUUUUAGUUUUCAUCUAGGAAUAAAGGCAAGCUCCAUUUGGAGUAAAGUGAAACUUCUAGCUUCGUGUCCGAAUUCGUUAAAUAAAUGUCGGGAUGUAUCGUCUUUGAGCUAUAAUAUUUCUGAUCCAGACAAUAUCUAUUUUGUUUCUUUGGUGGCAAUCUUGCACUUCCUGGUCUUAGUCUAUUCAAGUGACAGACAAAUCAAAAGGGAGAAGCGAGAUUAAUUUAUUUGUGAUCUCUUUGAUUUAUUUGUGCAUAUAUCAAUAUGAACGUGUAUGAUAUUUUUCUAUUUAUUGAAGAUUUUUUUACUGUAACCUGUUAUUGUGUUUGUCAAAAGGUGUUAAUAAAGAAUCACAUUCAAUUUCUGUUAAAUUAUCAGUAUUUGUUUCUUUCUAACAACUACCAUUCAUGCAAAUGUGGCUAUUAAAAAAAGCUCCAAUGACACAUAAAAAGCUUCCAAACAAUAUAUAAACAAAGAUGCAUUGUUUUCUGUUAAGAAGGGGACAGGGUUACGGUUACUUGUGUACCAAGUUAGUUAUCCAUGCUUUCUUGUUCAUAGGAUUUAUAUGGUGUAGUUGCACUUAGUUGCUAAAUGUAUGCAAGCUUUUCCUUUCUAUAAAUAAGCACACCUACUAUCAUUCUUCUCCACAUUCCUUUCUACUCUUCUAUCAUGAAUUGUUCAUCCACAUAAGAUGGUCACAGAGCACACCUAAUACUCUGCUACUGGUGUAUCAGUUCCUUUCCACCAGAAACUUAUGAUCUCUAAUUGAAAGAGAUCCUAAAGUUUUAAGAUUUCUACAAAAUACAUUAUUCUCAUUUUUGUACAAGUAUGAUACAAUUAUUCCCAAGUAUUAUUUAUUCUAAGGAAUAGAAUUUAGUUGUGGUUUCUCUAUUUAACCAACAUUUAUUUUUAAAUAACUAAAUUUAAAAAAAAAAUCCUGAAAUUAUUAAGUACAUACCUAACACAUUGUAAAAUUUUGUUCCCAAAGAAAAUAUUUUUGGCAAUAGAAUUUUCAGGAACUUCAUUCCUAGGAAUAUAAUUCUAUACUAAGAGAAGAGCUUAAGCAUUGAUACAUAACAAGACCAAUCCAUAUCCUAAUCACAAUCCUACUUUCACUAAAUACUUUCACUUAAGUGUGGUCUUGGAAAGGACAAAUGAAGAAAGACAUUCCAGAGGUAUGGUAAGGGACAAUAUCUGCAGUUAUGCACAUAUUGCAAGAUUGUGAGGAACUACCGGACUGAUUUGAUUCACCAAAAAAUUUGGAAUAAAUAUUUCAGCCCAGAACUCAGACAAUGACUGGAUUGGAACCUUUCAGCUUCUAAUAUCGGUACUGUCCAAGGAAAUAGUCAUUCUCUUUUUGGAGUAGCUGUGAAGGAUUUAUGGAAAGAUAGAACUAAGCUGGUCUUUUCUAGAAACACCGCGAUUGGAACUACUCUAUUUUGGCUUGUAGCCAAUCCGGCUAAGUUUAUUAACAAUGUAGUUUGUACUCAAGCUCACAGUCACGAUGUUGUCAGCAACAGUGGGCAUAUUGUUUAGGUAGCCUGGAAUUUUCCUCCCCAACACUUCUUCAAAGUGAAUAUGAUGGAUCUCUACGGGAUUAUGUUAGUUUCCAGGAUCGAACUCAGAACCUCCUGAUUAUAACUCCUUCAAUGUAUGUCCCUUACCCACGUGGGGCCUCGGCUGUAAUUGUUAACAUGGUAAAAUUUGGCUCUUCCAAUAAUGGUUUUAUCCAAACUCGAGGUUGUUUAUCGUCUCCAACAAUCAGAUUGGAGAAUACUAGUGGUUCAUGCAUUUGAACAAACCAACUGUUGUGCAGAUUUUCUAGUUGAUUUUGUUUUUCCUUUUUUGAGUAUUUUAUUAGCCAAUGAUAUAAGAGGUUGUAGCCUACCUCUUUUGAUUUCUUAAGACAAUCACUUUUGCAUUAGAAAAAAACGACCCUACAUAAAAUUAAUGAUUGAAUUAAGAUAUAACUUCAGUUUGAAAUAUUGUAAAAUUCUAUACCACCAAAAACUGAGAAUUUUAGAACCAUACAGGUUGGUGGAGUGGUCAUCCAGAUAACUUUAACAUAAUUAACAGUCCAAAAAGUAAAUAGCUUUAUCCUUUAUUUUCAAUCUGAUGUGAUUUACUCUUAUCUGUUAAACAUUAUAAUUAAGAAUCCAAAGGGAACACUCACCUAAUCUCUCUCUUUUUUCUAGCUUUUUCACUAAACCACUGUGUCUGUGGUUACCACAUUUCCUUAUGGAAUCAAUAUCCAAUUUAUGUUAAAAACCAUUUCUACAUUUUGUGUUAAAAAUGAUCUAAACAAAGAUGAUUUAUUUCUCUUAAAUUCAACAUAGAUCAUAUUUACAUGGUUCAAACUUUCUAUUACACGGCAUUGACUUAGUUGCUUCACAUGGGGACACAACUAAUGCAUAUAUUAUUUUAUAUGCUUAUAGUAAUUUUAACAAGUGGCAAUGGGGCAUAUGUUUUGUCAAAAAAACACAAAAAACAGGAGGCAUGUGCAACUGAAGUCACUGCCAGCUUGGCACUAAGAUAUAGUAAAAUAAUUGACAUUUGAAGAAAACAAAGACGUUGCUACAUUUCUAUUCAAACAAGCGACAUCAAUAUCAGACAAUGGUGCUACAUUUAAUAAUACUACAGCUAUCCCCAUAAGCACCUCUUAGAAAGAAAAAAAAAUAUCCAUUAAAUUAAUGUUGGAAGAGUUAGCAACAUGUCCUCUCCCAAAAAAACUCAUGUUUGAUUCCUAGAGUCGUCCAUUUCGAAAGAAGCUCAACCCUGAUAAUAAAAACCUAGAUGUUAUGCUGCAGACUUAAAGAUCAAUUUCAUAAUGGAUCCAAAGGGCCUAAGCUGUGUGGGAUACUUAAGGGGGUAUAUUGAGGCUAAGGGUCAAAGAUCUUAAUUAUGGUCGGUUAAAAAAAGAAGAAAAAAAAAUUAUCUCUAAAUAUAAAGUCAACAAUAUUUCAAAUUGCAAGAUACAUUUAUUUAUUUUUUAAAUAUGUAUAUACCUCUUAUUAAUACUUACUAAUUUGUUUUGAGUGAUAAAAAGUUACGAGUUAGACAGAUCAGCACAUAAAAAAAGUAUUUGAAAAACAUCUACCAACAAAAUAAACACAUUAAAAACAAUACUACUUUUUUACAAUACUGUAUGUGAAAAUGACAAAAUCUUGAAAAAGAUGGAGGUAACAUGUACUCUUUUUUUUUUAGAGGGGAGCAUGUACUUUUCCACUAACAAUGUUGAUAAGAAACAUAUAAAAUACUAUUAGAGAAAGAAAAAAAAUAAUAAAUAAAGAAAUAUAUAAAAUACUGAGGAAUGACUCACUCAUGUCAAAUUUUAGCAAGGGAGAAGUGAUAUCACAUCAUUUUAGAAGAGGAAUGAGAAUAGAUAGAUCUAAUUUUUCUAGUAAGUUUGAAUAGUAGAAUCAUACUUCUUUGUCUUUUGUGAAAAUUUCAUAUUAUGGGAUCUAUUACUAGAAUACAGGUGAUUUUAUUCUGGAAGAUUGACUUUUUAUUAAAAUAAAAUAAAAGUACAUUUUUUAUUUCCAAAUGCUUAGUUGUUCAUUUAUAAAUAUUACAUUAUCCAACAGCACCAAACCCUAUUUCAUAACGGUACUCUGCACGUUUCAUUCAUUUACUGGUGCCUUAGUUUUUUGUUACAAACAGACAUUGAUCAGAGGAACAAAUGUAGAGACAAAUUGAAGAUAAUAUAUCACAUAAUAUUGUAGACACACCUUCACAUACAAAUGGGGUAAAGUCCCUCAUAGUAGUAUUAGAAAUAACACUUAGAGUAAAAUUUUGCUAAAUUUAACAUGAAAAUAAGUGUAAUGUAUUUUAUAGGCAGCUAUACAUAAUUAUUAAUUAGAACAAUUUUUUACACUGUCAAACAAAAAUUGAACAAUUUUUUACUAGCUUUAUGCUUUAUGAUGUUUUGAUUCCAUGUGCACAUUUCAAUUUUAGAACUAUUCCUUUCUAUGUUACUGAAAUAAUUCUAUCAUUAGGCAUUGACAUUUCCAUUAUGCGUGCACGUUAAAGUGUUUUCCCAAACAGAGAAAUAUUAAGAAAGGUUAAACUUUUGACUUAAAGACACAACUAAAAUAAGAUCCAAGGAAAACCCCAUUGAUUAUUUCUUGCACAAAAUUAAAAACCCCAUUGAUUAUUUCUUGCACAAAAUUAAAAUGCUAAUAAUUUUUCCUGGUCUAUAUUUUUCUCCUUCCGGGAAAUGGCAACAUCACAUGUUCAUCUCAUAAUUGAGAAAACACAUGUCUGGGAAAAUAUCUUAAAGAAAAGGCAGUAAAGUAAUAAAAAGUGCACCAAAUAGAGAUUAACUAGUACUCUUUGCAUGUCAACUAAGUGGUAUAAUUAUGUAUAUCACAUUCUUAAUAUUGAUUAUCUUGAUUGCACGAUAAGCCCCUCAAAUUGCUCAAUCGAUGAUUGCUUGAUAAGCCCAUCAAAUUGCCCAAUCGAUCGAAUCGUAACUUUCGAUAGACAUUUUUUUUAAGAAAACCCAAUUGGAUCAUAACUCCCCAUAGUCAUUUAUUUGAAAUUGUGAGCAAUUUGAUAACUUAUUGAGCAAUCACCAUUGAUUUUAGUCUCAAUUUAUCCUAAUGUUGUAACCCUGGAAUAAUGGAACAGUGAGUAAAUUUGGUUUCUCCGUCUCAAAAUAAGUGUCACAAUUUAACCAUGUGCACUACUCAUCAAAUCUACUUUGACAACAUUUUUUUUACUAAUAUAUAAAGACAAUGUUAGUACAUUACAUGUUCGAUUUGUCUUAGUUAAUGUUUUUAAAAUAUCGACUUUAUUAUAAUUUUUCUUAAUAGACAAUCAAAAAUAUCAAUUGUCAAAAUUGUGUAUUGAUAUGUAUGAAAAUCAAACUAUAACACUUACUUUGAGACGAAGAGAAUAACUAUUAAAAACUAAUGUUCAAAUAGAAAGAAAAGAAAACAAAGAUUCCAUACAAAGCUUGCAAAAUAGCUACAAUCAUAACCUAGAACAAAAAUCAUGACCACACACUAUAUCCAUUUUCCUUUUCCUAAAAAGCAAUUGAAGAUAAAAAAAAAAAAAAUAAUAAAUAAAAAAAAAAAAAAAAAAAAAAAAAANACCACCAUACUACUACAAAUCCCCACCUCCACCAUCGCCUUCUCCUCCACCACCAUACUACUACAAAUCCCCACCUCCACCAUCGCCUUCUCCUCCACCACCAUACUACUACAAAUCCCCACCUCCACCAUCGCCUUCUCCUCCACCACCAUACUACUACAAAUCCCCACCUCCACCAUCGCCUUCUCCUCCACCACCAUACUACUACAAAUCCCCACCUCCACCAUCGCCUUCUCCUCCACCACCAUACUACUACAAAUCCCCACCUCCACCAUCGCCUUCUCCUCCACCACCAUACUACUACAAAUCCCCACCUCCACCAUCGCCUUCUCCUCCACCACCAUACUACUACAAAUCCCCACCUCCACCAUCGCCUUCUCCUCCACCACCAUACUACUACAAAUCCCCACCUCCACCAUCGCCUUCUCCUCCACCACCAUACUACUACAAAUCCCCACCUCCACCAUCGCCUUCUCCUCCACCACCAUACUACUACAAAUCCCCACCUCCACCAUCGCCUUCUCCUCCACCACCAUACUACUACAAAUCCCCACCUCCACCAUCGCCUUCUCCUCCACCACCAUACUACUACAAAUCCCCACCUCCACCAUCGCCUUCUCCUCCACCACCAUACUACUACAAAUCCCCACCUCCACCAUCGCCUUCUCCUCCACCACCAUACUACUACAAAUCCCCACCUCCACCAUCGCCUUCUCCUCCACCACCAUACUACUACAAAUCCCCACCUCCACCAUCGCCUUCUCCUCCACCACCAUACUACUACAAAUCCCCACCUCCACCAUCGCCUUCUCCUCCACCACCAUACUACUACAAAUCCCCACCUCCACCAUCGCCUUCUCCUCCACCACCAUACUACUACAAAUCCCCACCUCCACCAUCGCCUUCUCCUCCACCACCAUACUACUACAAAUCCCCACCUCCACCAUCGCCUUCUCCUCCACCACCAUACUACUACAAAUCCCCACCUCCACCAUCGCCUUCUCCUCCACCACCAUACUACUACAAAUCCCCACCUCCACCAUCGCCUUCUCCUCCACCACCAUACUACUACAAAUCCCCACCUCCACCAUCGCCUUCUCCUCCACCACCAUACUACUACAAAUCCCCACCUCCACCAUCGCCUUCUCCUCCACCACCAUACUACUACAAAUCCCCACCUCCACCAUCGCCUUCUCCUCCACCACCAUACUACUACAAAUCCCCACCUCCACCAUCGCCUUCUCCUCCACCACCAUACUACUACAAAUCCCCACCUCCACCAUCGCCUUCUCCUCCACCACCAUACUACUACAAAUCCCCACCUCCACCAUCGCCUUCUCCUCCACCACCAUACUACUACAAAUCCCCACCUCCACCAUCGCCUUCUCCUCCCCCACCUUACUAUUACAAAUCCCCACCGCCACCUUCACCAUCUCCCCCACCACCCUACUACUAUAAAUCACCCCCACCACCUUCACCAUCUCCUCCACCACCAUACUACUACAAAUCAC